GUAAAAACUUAUGGUGAAGGAUUCUCUUUGAUCGAUAAUUAUUAUUUUUGUCAGUGUUGGCUUUACGGGGCAGCAUCUACCCUGUCCUCGAGACGCCUCCUGCUGGCGCGGUACGGGGCAAACGUAUUGGAAUGGCUAACCGUCUUUAUCCGUCCGUGCUGUAUAAGCAGCAUUGCGAAGACUCUCAUGCCCUUCAAAGUUUAAGUUGCAUCUUCUCUUAACAACAAUUGCUUUUAAGUGAGUUGGUUAGCACCUGAUCCAACAGUCAACAAAUAAUUUCGUUGUAAAACCAACACCACCACAAAUGCCAACAGGAGGGGAGUGUCUCAGAUAGCCCACCUAGGCACAUUACUACCCAACCAAAGAAGCAAAUGCCAUGCUUUGAAGGGGUUUGAUGUCGGGGAUAUUCCCCAUGACAAAUGUUACAUGGUCUCUGUUAGACCAAUUCUGCUGGACAUCCCCCGGAGAUUGGAGUUGAUGGGAGGAUACUCAAAGUUACCCCUUGACGAGCACAACGAAAAGCACGUAUGUGUGUGCGAGUUCGUUUAAUUCUUCCUUCCUCGCCGAUUUGAUCAACUCCUCGUUCUUUGUAUUUGAAUUGACUUCUCUCUGGAAUUGUAGAGUACAAACUACCAGUUUGUGAAGGUCCUCAAGGCGAACAUCCAUAGUCGGCACUACAAUAUUACCUUUCAAGUCAAGGACAUGGCUCGUUCUGGUUCUCCCACUCUCAACUUCUAGGCUAUUGUGAAAACUUUCAAGGGUUAGGCAACCGUCCUGUUUAGCGCACCUGAACCAUAAUCCUGUGUACUCCCAAGGUAGCGGUGGUUACAAUGUGCGAACUCCCUUUCUAUGGUUCCCGCUUCAAGGUUUUGCUUGAGGAAAAAUACCCGCUAGAUUUCUCCUUGUGAUGAGUUCAUGUUGCAGACAAUUUGAUUAAAACUUGUACUAGGAGCUGAGUGGUUAUAGGGUUUUGUAUGCAACAAAAUUUGUGGGCAGUAUUGUAAAUGUCGCGACUUUUUAGGGCUAAUUCGAAGUGUUCGUUUCAUUUUGUUACUAAUCUAUUUGAAUCCACAAGUUGUUUGUCUUCUUAAUUUGAUGGCUUUUGUAAGCUCUUUAUAGUGCUCUAGAAGCAGUUGUACCGGAAUGAGUUACAAAUAAUGAAAUCCAUCUUAAUUUUUCAGGGACUCCGAGCUGAACAUGAGUGCACUAAAAAUAAAUUUGGAUUUGGCUACUUAUAGACCUCGAGCUUGGCCAUGUUUGAUGACAAGUCCAGGUGGGGGAUUGGACAACGAAUCCCGUGGACCCAUUAAUCUGGCGUUUGAUUGUACUUUUGGAAGGCAGGACCCGUAGUCCAGAGUAUGAAUCUCCCCGGGAGAGGUCGGGAAUGGGGGUUAGCAAAGGGAAUGGAGUUGAGUUUCAUAGUUCCAUCUGUCCGGAUUGGUACGAAUCAAUGCAUAUGUGAUGCGUUAUCACAUUAUAAUUCCCUCUCACUCCAACAUCAAAACAAACAUGGUUAUAACGAUUCCUAUAAACAGAAGCCGAAGGACUAAUUGGAAAAGCAUUACUGCAAGUUUUGAGUGCAUAGUUUUGAUGGAAAUCUAUGGCUCUGCUGCCGACUAUUGGUAUGAUAAAUGCAUUGGUACAUAGGAGAAAAUUAUUUAUGGACAAGAUUCAUUAUCUGUGCCGUAGCUCAGAACUAAAAUACAAAAAGACUACCUCAAAUCAAAUAUACCAUUAUUAUACAUGGAGGGCUCCAAACAGUAACAAACUUCAGAAUAUAUGAAGUAUAAAUAAAGAGAGCGUGAAAAUCACUACCCAUCAAGAGAAAUUAGUUCUGAUUUCAACUAAUGAUAGGGGCUUCUCAUUUUUUUUGACUAAUCAAAACAGAUCACAAGCUCCUAGCUGGUUCACCCCAUUGUGAUUGCACAUCUUCUCAUCUGAUAAAAUCUGGCGACGAAGCGUUGGAGUUCGGGUGGAUCUUCUUGAAAAUUCCAAAGAAGCAGCCAUGAUUAUGAUCCGAAUUGGUAGUUCUCAUUUGAUCAUGAUCACGAGGAUUAUUCAUCGCUUCUCUCUGGCCAUCACCAGUUGCUGUAAUCUUCUGAGCUGCUAUGUCCUUCUGCAAUUUCUCCUUGUGGAGUUUCCCCAUCACGUAAGCUUCGGCAAGACAAGCACUAGCUGAUGCCAUGGCCUAACAAUUAACUGGAUGCAAAUUUGCCGGCAGAAAUAGUAAUGCGUGAAAAUUAGCUUGAACACCCUGAGUUUUAGAGAAAUUUUGUUGCUAGAAAUGAAGGGUUACGGUUGGAUUUUGUGGUGAUAUAUGGAUGGGGAGAGGCUUUUGUGGUGGGGUUAUUUAUAGGAGAUUGUAGGCUUGGGGAAUAAGAAAUGCACUAGUGGAA